rnacentral:tRNA from 1 species
GCUGGUGUAGCUCAGCUGGCCAGAGCGGCGCCUUCGUAACGCGCGGGUCGCAGGUUCGAAUCCUGUCGCCAGCA